UCCCUGAUAGCUCAGCUGGUAAAGAGUCCACCUGCAAUGUGGGAGACCUGGGUUCAAUCCCUGGGUUGAGGAG
rfam:Ovis aries breed Texel chromosome 2, whole genome shotgun sequence.